CAAGGUUCAAGAAAAUCACCAGCUGGUUUUCAGAAUAGAAAAAAAGGAUAUAGGCUUCGCAUAACAGCUUAUUUCAUCAAAAGAGAGAUUCACCUUCAUUGUAUUGUGGGGAAGCCGAGUUAUGCCCUCAAAACUCACUAAUUGUAGAAUGCUAUUUACAGAGUGGUAUAGUAAAUUGAGUUCCUGUUUUGGAAUGAGGAAAACAUAGGUUUCUGCUCUGCUGUGGACAUGUACUGGGACAUAUAGAUCUACUGGACAAGUCACUCUCUUAACAUUUUAGUAUCCCAGGCUACUCUCCAAGAUGGUAAGUUGAAGAGCAG
rnacentral:lncRNA from 1 species